CACGUGAGGCGCAAGCGUUGUCCGGAAUUAUUGGGCGUAAAGAGCUCGUAGGUGGUUUGUUACGUCUGCUGUGAAAACCUAGGGCUUAACCCUGGGCUUGCAGUGGAUACGGGCAGACUAGAGGUAGGUAGGGGAGAAUGGAAUUCCUGGUGUAGCGGUGAAAUGCGCAGAUAUCAGGAGGAACACCGGUGGCGAAGGCGGUUCUCUGGGCCUUACCUGACACUGAGGAGCGAAAGCGUGGGGAGCGAACAGG
rnacentral:rRNA from 1 species